rnacentral:rRNA from 1 species
AUUGAACGCUGGCGGCAGGCCUAACACAUGCAAGUCGAACGAGUGGCGGACGGGUGAGUAAUGUCUGGGAAACUGCCCGAUGGAGGGGGAUAACUACUGGAAACGGUAGCUAAUACCGCAUACCAUCGGAUUUGCCCAGAUGGGAGUAGCUAGUAGGGGGGGUAACGGCUAACCUAGGCGACGAUCCCUAGCUGGUAUGAGAGGAUGACCAGCCACACUGGAACUGAGACACGGUCCAGACUCCUACGGGAGGCAGCAGUGGGGAAUAUUGCACAAUGGGCGCAAGCCUGAUGCGGCCAUGCCGCGUGUAUGAAGAAGGCCUUCGGGUUGUAAAGUACUUUCAGAGAGGAGGCGUUACUCGCAGAAGAAGCCCCGGCUAACUCCGUGCCAGCAGCCGCGGUAAUUC